rnacentral:lncRNA from 10 species
GACACUUUCGCAGAGUGGGUCCCCGUCGCGCGGCGCCGCGGAAAGGCUGGAACGGCGCGGCACCUUGGGAGGCCAAGGCACGCAGAUCACCUGAGGUCAGGAGUUCGAGACCAGCCUGGCCAACAUGGAGAAAUCCCAUCUCUACUAAAAAUACAAAAAUUAGCCGGGCAUGGUGGCGGAUGCCUGUAAUCCCAUCUACUUGGGAGGCUGAGGCACGAGAAUCACUUGGACCCAGAAGGCAAAGGUUGAGGUGGAGGUUACAGUGAGCCAAAGUCGUGCCACUGCACUCCAGCCUGGGCAACAGAGCAGGACUCCGUUUCAAAAAAAAAAGGAAGAGAGACCUGAGCUUGCACACAGCCUGCUAGCCAUGUGAUGCCCUGUGCUACCUCAAGACUCUGCAGAGUCCCCACCAGCAAGAAGGCCCUUGAUUUUGGAUAUCUCAGCCUCCAGAACUGUAAGAAAUAAAUUUCUCUUCUUUAAAAAUUGCCCAGUCUCAGGUGUUCUUUUAUAGCGAUGCAAAAUGGACUAAGACCCAAGUCUAUUCAUAAGAGUGGAAUUCUUUUGGGGGAUAACAUUUCACUUAAUUGGGGCUCCCAGUUGUAUUUCCUGUCGUCAAUUGAUGGUACAUGUUCACCUUUGAAAAACCUUCCUGGCUCACAAAAACAGGCGGCCAGUUGGAUGUGGUUUAUAGAUACGGUCAUGCACAACUCAGAUCUCAGCUCUGCUCUCAGGGGACUCAGUCUAUGGCGGGGAAGAGUCCCAAAAUCAGUAAACAAAUAUAUCAUCUCAAAGGUGUUAUUAAGAAGAGGAUGCUGAGACUAUGAUACAAGGGAGGGUGAGGCCCAGGCUGAUAGGGUUGUCAGGAAAGGCUCUCGAGGUGAGGUCUGCACUAUGAUCUGAACAAGGGGCCAGCUCUAAACACCCUAAACAGGCAGAGAGAACAGUGUGGGAUCAUACUGUUUAUUUAAAAAAUAUUUUUUAUUUUUUAUUUUUUUUGAGAUGGAGUUUCACUCUUGUUGCCCAGGCUGGAGUGCAAUGGCGUGAUCGCGGCUCACCACAGCCUCCGCCUCCCGGGUUCAAGCAAUUCUCCUGCUUCAGCCUCUCGAGUAGCUGGGAUUACAGGCAUGCGACACCACACCCGGCUAGUUUUUUAUUUUUAGUAGAGAUGGGGUUUCUGCCUGUUGGUCAGACUGGCCUCAAACUCCCAACCUCAGGUGAUCCACCCGCCUCAGCUUCCCAAAGUGCUGGGAUUACAGGCAUGAGCCACCGUGCCUGGCCCUAAAUUUUUUAUAUAUUUUUUUGAGACGGAGUCCUGUCUGUUGCCCAGCCUAGAGUGCUGUGGUUCAAUCUCGGCUCACUGCACCUUCCGCCUCCCACACUCAAGUGAUUCUCCUGCCUCAGCCUCCUAAGUAGAUGGGAUUACAGGCGCCUGCCAUCACACCCAGCUAAUCUUUGUAUUUUUAGUAAAAACGGGGUUUCACCAUGUUGGCCAGGCUGGUCUUGAACUCCUGACCUCAACUGAUUUGCCUGCCCUGGCUUCCUAAAGUGCAGGGAUUACAGGCAUGAGCCACCGUGCCCAGCCCAUACUAUUUGAAGAACAGUCAGUAAUCCAGAGUGUGGGCACUUUUCAUGCCAGGUAAAAUCUACAUGAAGAAGUUUUUUUUGUUUUUUUUGUUUUUUUUUUUUUUGAGACAGAGUCUUGCUCUGUCACCCAGGCUGGAGUGCAGUGGUGUGAUCUCUGCUCACUGCAACUUCUGCCUCUGGGGUUCAAGCAAUUCUGCCUCAGCCUCCCGAGUAGCUGGGACUACAGGUGCACACCACACCCAGCUAAUUUUUUUUUUUUUCUGAGGAGUCUCACUCUGUUGCCCAGACCGGAGUCCAGUGGUGCAGUCUCUGCUCACUGCAAGCUCCACCUCCCGGGUUCACACCAUUCUCCUGCCUCAGCCUCCCGAGUAGCUGGGACUACAGGCACCCGCCACCGCGCCCGGCUAAUUUUUUGUAUUUUUAGUAGAGACGGGGUUUCACCGUGUUAGCCAGGAUGGUCUCAAUCUCCUGACCUCGUGAUCCGCCCACCUCGGCCUCCCAAAGUGCUGGGAUUACAGGCGUGAGCCACUGCGCCCGGCCUACCCCCAGCUAAUUUUUGUAUUUUUAGUAGAGAUGGUUUCACCAUGUUGGCCAGGCUGGUCUAAAACUCCUGACCUCAGGUGAUCCACCUGCCUCGGCCUCCCAAAGUGCUGGGAUUACAGGUGUGAGCCACCGUGCCCGGCUACAUCAAGGAGUUUUAACUUGGGAUCUCCAAUGGAUAGAUUUCAGAGAACCAUGAACAAAAUUGGUAGCAAAAUAAAUGCCUUUUUGAGGGUUGAAGAUACACAGCGUUUACAGGAUUCUUAAUAGGCUCCUCAAUCAGAACAGGUUAAUGAAUCUGUAUUGUCAUUUUUUUUUUUUUUUAGACAGAGUCUCACUCUGUUGCCUAGGCUGGAGUGCAGUAGCAUGAUCUCGGCUCACUGCAACCUCCGCCUCCCAAGUUCAAGAGAUUCUCCUGCCUCAGCCUCCUGAGUAGCUGGGAUUAUAGGCAUGUGCCAUGACACCCAGCUAAUUUUUGUAUUUUUAGUAGAGACAGGGUUUCACCAUGCUGGCCAGGCUGGUCUUGAACUCCUGACCUCGUGAUCCACCCGCCUCGGCCUCCUAAAGUGUUGGCAUGACAGACGUGAGCUGCUGCGCCCGGGCGAUGUUGUGAUUUUUGAGGCUGCAUAGGAUGCCAUGGUGUGGACUCACCACAAUUUACUGAAGUGAGACUCUAGUCUCCUGGCUUGGUUCCAUUUUUAGGCCACUGUUAAAAGUGUCUUAAGUGUAUAUAGGGUUGGGCGUGGAGGUUCACGCCUGUAAUCCCAGGACUUUUGGAGGCCAAGGCGGGCAGAUCACUUGAGGCCAGGAGUUCGAGACCAGCCUGGCCAACAUGGAGAAAUCCCGUUUCUACUAAAAAAUAAAUAAUUAGCCGGGCGUGGUGGCACGUGCCUGUAAUCCCAGCUACUCGGGAGGCUGAGGCAGGAGACUCACUUGAGUCUGGAGGUGGAGGUUGUAGUAAGCCGAGACUGCACCACUGUACUCUAGCCUGGGCAACAGAGUGACUCUGUCUCAAAAAAAAAGUGUCUUAGUAGAUACAAACCUUGUGUAGAGUCAAAGGGUGUGCAAAUUCAAUACUGAGAUUGCUCAGCUACCUUCUAGAAAGUUAGUACACCCACGGUCACUACUUUCAUACAUUUGUUUCAGAUUGUUUAAAAUGCUGCUGGGUAUGGUGGCUCAUGCCUGUAAUCCCAGCACUUUGGGAGGCUGAGGCAGGCGGCUCACUUAAGUCAGGAUUUCGAGACCAGCCUGGCCAACAUGGUGAAACCCCAUCUCUACUAAAAAUACAAAAAUUAGCCGGGCGUGGGGGCAGGCACCUUUAAUUCCAGCUAAUCAGGAGGCUGAGGCAGGAUAAUCACUUGAACCUGGGAGGGGAAGGUUGCAGCAAACCGAGAUUGCGCCACUGCCCUCUAGCCUGGGUGACAGAGCGAGACUCUGUCUCAAAACAAAAACAGAAACAAAAAAGCCAUGUAUCUGAGAUUGAAAAUAUAAGCCUCAGAGGGACCUCUACCAAGCUCAUUUCAAAGGGUCAAAUCAGAAUCUACUGGUCAGAAGAAAGCAGUAGAAAGAGCUGGUAGACUGGCUGCUGCAGAUACUCUCCAGCAAGUAAAGUGGACACCUCGAGUGAGAUGAGCCUUGUGAAGGGACUCACCUAAGCAGCAACAUGGAGGGCCAGGUGCACUGAGGGGGUUCUGUGGCCCAUAUGUCUGCUAGUUGUGAUUUCUUGAGUCUGGACCCCUUAAUCGGAAUGGUCUCAUUGUGGUCAGGGUCAGAUGGUAACUAAAGUUUUGUGGGGUUUUAUUGAAGACAGGGUCUCGCUCUGUCACCCAGGCUGGAGUGUAGCAGUGCGAUCUCGGCUCACUGCAACCUCUGCCUCCCACGUUCAAGCGAUUCUCCUGCCUCAGCCUCCCAAGUAGCUGGGAUUACAGGAGCGUGCCACCACGCCUGGCUAGUUUUUUGUAUUUUUAGUCGAGAUGGGCUUUCACUAUGUUGGCCAGGCUGGUUUUGCACUCCUGACCUCAGGUGAUCUGCCCACCUUGGCUUCCCAAAAUAUUAGGAUUACAGGCGUAAGCCCUGCCACCUCCCCCUAGUCCCCCAUCCCCCGGGUCUUAGCAUUUCUAAGUAGCUCCCAUGUGCUACUUAGUUACAUACCUGUCAUUUAGGCUGAGUGCUUUGAAGGUAGGAGGCUUACAUAUCUGUUUCCUGCUGCUUGACACAGCCAGUGCUUAGUAAAUCACUAAACAAAAAGAUUAUGAAUGAAAAGGACAUGGGCAACAGUUUCAGCAGAAACUCAAACCCUUUCUGUCUGAAAGAAAUCCUUUGCUGGGGAUGGCUUAAGUAAUGGGGAAAAAUGGGUUCUGGAGCCAGAUUUAAGCAGUUAUGUAAUCCCAGAUGAGUGACUUGACCCCGUUGGGCCUCAUUUUCACCUGAAAAACAAGGCUAAUAAAACUCACAAAGGUAUCGUGUGUGAAAAGCUCACCACUGAGCUGGGCAUGUAGCAGGUACACAGUCUUGGCUGUCAAUACUCAAAAAUGGCUUCAGGCUGGGCACGGUGGCUCACACCUGUAAUCCCAACACUAUGGGAGCCAAGGCAGGUGGAUCACUUGAGCCCAGGAGUUCCGGACCAGCCUGGGUAACACAGAGCCCCAUCUCUAAAAAUAUUUUAAAAAUUAGCUGGGUGUGGUAGUGUACACCUGGACCAGCUACUUGGGAGGCUGAGGCAGGGGACUGGAAUGUAGGGUUUGGUGCUGCAGGAAGCUGUGGUCGUGCCACCGCAGUCCAGCUUGGGUAAUAAGGUGAGACCCUGUCUCUUAAACCAAAAACAUAACAGGCCAGAUAGCUUGAGCCCCAGAGUUUGAGACUAGCCUGGGCAACAAGGUGAAACUCCAUCUUUACAAAAAAUACAAAAAUUAGCCAGGUUUGGUGGCACAUGCCUGUAUCCCAGCUACUUGGGAGGCUGAGGCGGAAGGAUCCCUUGAGUCUGGGAGGUUGUGGCUGCUGAGAGCCGGGAUU